rnacentral:misc_RNA from 1 species
AAUUUAUCUAAAUAAUUUCAGAUUUAUGAAGUCAUAUUUAAAAUGAUUUAUAUUCUCUUGUUGUUCUGUAUACCUUGUAUACUGGGACCACCUGUUGAUAAAACAGCCAAAGGCCCACAGCAGAAUGAGACCCUGGAGGACUGGAACCUUGGUCUAGAGUACAACAAGUAUCUCCGGGAGGUUGUUCAGAUACUAGAAGCAGAUCCAGACUUUAGAAAGAAACUAGAAACUGCUAAGGUUGAUGAAAUCCGUGAUGGAACAAUAGCCAAGGAGCUUGAGUUUCUCAGCCACGGGAUCCGAACCAAGCUGGACGAGGUAAAGAGGCAGGAGAUGGAGAGGUUGAGACACCUGGCGCAGAGACAGAUAGAGUUGAACCAGGGCCUCGAUAGGAAGCAUAUCAAGAUCCCGCAACAUAUUGAGGUUAAACACAACUCCUUCGAGGUUGCGGAUCUCCAGAAGCUGAUCAAACAGACCACGAAUGAUUUAGAGGAGGCAGAUAAGCAGAGAAGGGAAGAAUUUAAGAAAUAUGAGAUGGAGAAGAAGUUUGAGAAGGAAAUGAGAUUAAAUGCAAUAAAUGAUACUCAGGAGAGGAAGGUUGUGCAGGAGGAGAUGGAGAAGAUGGAAGCUAAACACAGGGUGCACGACAAGAUAAACCAUCCUAUGACCAAGGAUCAGCUAGAGGAGGUCUGGGAGGAACAAGAUCAUAUGGAUCCUAAGGACUGGGAUCCCAAAACCUUCUUCGCUAUGCAUGAUCUGGAUGGGAACGGUGAGUGGGAUGAGAACGAGGUUCGAAUACUCUUCAGGAAGGAGCUGGAUAAAGCCUACGAUCCCAACAACCCCGAGGACGACAUGAAAGAGAGGGAGGAGGAGAUGGAGAGGAUGAGAGAACAUGUUUUCAAAGAGUCUGACAAGGAUAAGAACAGGAUGAUUUCCUACCAAGAGUUUCUAGCAGAGACGGAGAGGGACGAAUUUGAGAAGGAUCCUGGCUGGGAUACAGUAGAUGAUGCUGAACUCUAUACUGAUGAAGAGUUCCAGAGAUUUGAAUCAGAACGGGAAGAGCAGAUAAAGAGAAUGAUUGAAUCUGGACAAAUGCCCCCUAACUAUGCUUAUCCAAAUAUCCCCGGUAUGCCCCCUCCUGGAUACAAUCCUGGGUUUGGAUACCCACCUUUGCCCGGCGGUCCUAUGCCCGGGGUUGAUCGGAACGGAAUCCCGAUGCAUGGUAGUGUUCCUGGCCAGCCUGCGCAUCCACAGUUUGUUCCUGGACAACCUCCUCCACAACAACAGUAUCUGCAACAACAGUUCCAGGGACAACAACAGUUCCAAGGACAACAACAGUAUCCGCCACAACAGCUAUAUCAAGGACAACAACAAUAUCCACCACAACAACAGUUUGGAGGACAACAGCAACAGUUCGCUGGACAACAACAAGGCCAACCACAGCAGUUUGCACAGCCUUCUCAGGUACAAUUCCAGCCAGGACAACAACAACAAUUUGUAGCACAACCUCAACCAGGAGCAGGACAAGCAGGGCAACCUCAACCUGGACUAGGGCAACAACAAUUUGCAGGACAACCCCAGCCAGGACAAGGACAACCCCAGCCAGGACAAGGACAACCCCAGCCAGGACAAGGACAACCUCAGCCGGGACAACCCCUGUCCGGACAAGGACAACCUCAGCCAGGACAAGCACAACCACAGCCAGGACAAGGACAAGCUGUUCCCGUUGCUGGACAACAAACUCCGUGAAUAAUAACUUAAUUAAAUAUUUUCGUCACAAUUAUUGAAAUUUUUCCGUUGAAUCCCAACUGUUCUCUGUGAUAUUUUUCCCACAUUUGUGUGACCAUGUAUACACCUGUUAAAACAGCUGCAGUUAAAUUUUACGUAUUAUUUUCAGUCAGGUUUAAAUUGGCUCGAAAUAUAUUGCCCUUGAAGUACCGACAGUAUUGGUUUACAUUCAUAAACAGCAUUUUAAUUGAGUUUUCCAAUCCUAGGAGUCCAGACAUAUACCACUUAGAAUAUUAUUGGUUUACUACUUGACUAUGUUUACGCCAAUUUACAAUUUACAGUGAGUUUAGAUCCUUUCAAUUACAGAAA